GAUGAAGAACGUAGCGAAAUGCGAUAAGUAAUGUGAAUUGCAGAAUUCAGUGAAUCAUCGAAUCUUUGAACGCACCUUGCACCCUUUGGCAUUCCGAAGGGUAUGCUCGUUUGAGUGUCAUUGUACUCUCACACUUCUGAUCCUUUGGAUUGGGAGCGGUGGACUUGGGUGUUGCUGCUUUACUGUGGCUCACCUCAAAUGCAUUCGUGCAACUCUUGGUUGGUCAUAGUACGGCGUGAUAAGUAUCUUCGCCGGCACCUCGCAAGAGGGUGGCUGAUCAGGAGCUCUGUGCUUUCCAACUGUCUUCAGACAACAACUGACAACUUGACCUCAAAUCGAGUAGGACCACCCGCUGAACUUAAGCAUAUCAAAAGCGGAGGA
rnacentral:misc_RNA from 1 species